GCGCCCAGCGAUCCUUAGGUGAGUAGCUUGGUUCUGGCUCCGACUCUUUCACUCCUAUAUCGUAGACUCGAGGAAACGGUUCUUUGGUCGCCAAGUAUUAAAGAAAUACAGCGACCAUGGUCAACGGUAGAAUCCCAUCAGUCUUUUCCAAGACUUAUGUCACCCCCAGAAGACCUUAUGAAAAGGCUCGUCUUGAUCAAGAGUUACGUAUUAUUGGUGAAUAUGGUCUGAGGAACAAGCGUGAAGUAUGGAGAGUCAAAUACACUUUGGCUAAAAUCCGUAAAGCUGCCCGAGAGCUGCUCACUUUGGAAGAGAAAGACCCCAAGCGUCUUUUCGAAGGUAAUGCACUUUUGAGACGUCUGGUUCGCAUUGGUGUCCUCGAUGAAGGCCGCAUGAAGCUUGAUUACGUUUUGGGCUUGAAAAUUGAAGAUUUCUUGGAAAGACGUCUCCAGACCCAAGUUUUCAAGCUUGGAUUAGCCAAGUCUAUCCAUCACGCUCGUGUUUUGAUCCGUCAAAGACACAUCCGUCAUGCUUCGGAGUGAUUCAUUGGCAUUGGGAUGACGAAACUUGAAUCUAGAAAAAUAUUUUCUGAAAAUGAGUUGAUCAUUCAGGCCACUUAAGUAUCCAAAUAUGAAUUGGUACUUAAUGUCUGUUAACUUUGAUUCAAUCAGGCCACUUAAGUAUUCAAACAUAAAUUGGUACUUAAUGUCUGCUAAAAAUGAUUCGAUCAGGCCACUUGAGUAAUAAAAGUACUUUAAUACUUAUAGUCCGUAAUAGGCAACUUAAGUGUUCAUAGUACCGCUCAAUGCCUGUAAAUUGUUCACUCUGGCCACUUAUGUGCUAAACAGUGUUUAGCACAUAACGCCGUACAUUGCAAUGCUAAAAUAUGGCUUUGCAUUUAAACUUGCGUCCGCAAACAAGUUGUGAACAUCCCAUCGUUCAUUGUUCGCUUGGACUCACAGAAACAUAUUGACUUCUCUCUGAAGUCGCCCUUCGGUG